rnacentral:rRNA from 1 species
AUUGAACGCUGGCGGCAGGCCUAACACAUGCAAGUCGAGCGGAUGAAGGGAGCUUGCUCCCUGAUUUAGCGGCGGACGGGUGAGUAAUGCCUAGGAAUCUGCCUGGUAGUGGGGGAUAACGUUCCGAAAGGAACGCUAAUACCGCAUACGUCCUACGGGAGAAAGCGGGGGAUCUUCGGACCUCGCGCUAUCAGCUGAGCCUCGGUCGGAUUAGCUAGUUGGUGAGGUAAAGGCUCACCAAGGCGACGAUCCGUAACUGGUCUGAGAGGAUGAUCAGUCACACUGGAACUGAGACACGGUCCAGACUCCUACGGGAGGCAGCAGUGGGGAAUAUUGGACAAUGGGCGAAAGCCUGAUCCAGCCAUGCCGCGUGUGUGAAGAAGGUCUUCGGAUUGUAAAGCACUUUAAGUUGGGAGGAAGGGUUGUAGAUUAAUACUCUGCAAUUUUGACGUUACCGACAGAAUAAGCACCGGCUAACUUCGUGCCAGCCGCCGCGGUAAAAC